GAUGAACGCUGGCGGCGUGCCUAAUACAUGCAAGUCGAGCGAACGGACGAGAAGCUUGCUUCUCUGAUGUUAGCGGCGGACGGGUGAGUAACACGUGGAUAACCUACCUAUAAGACUGGGAUAACUUCGGGAAACCGUAGCUAAUACCGGAUAAUAUUUUGAACCGCAUGGUUCAAUAGUGAAAGACGGUCUUGCUGUCACUUAUAGAUGGAUCCGCGCUGCAUUAGCUAGUUGGUAAGGUAACGGCUUACCAAGGCAACGAUGCAUAGCCGACCUGAGAGGGUGAUCGGCCACACUGGAACUGAGACACGGUCCAGACUCCUACGGGAGGCAGCAGUAGGGAAUCUUCCGCAAUGGGCGAAAGCCUGACGGAGCAACGCCGCGUGAGUGAUGAAGGUCUUCGGAUCGUAAAACUCUGUUAUUAGGGAAGAACAUAUGUGUAAGUAGCUGUGCACAUCUUGACGGUACCUAAUCAGAAAGCCACGGCUAACUACGUG
rnacentral:rRNA from 1 species